rnacentral:misc_RNA from 1 species
AGAGAGAGAGAGAGAGAGAGCAAACUACAAAGCUAAUAAGAUAAAGAAAAGAACAAAAACAUUACUUGUCUGCAUUUCUCUUGUCUACUUCUCUGAGCUUCUCGUCUCAAAUCUUGUAUAUGUACUCUCUUUCAAAGUCAUCUCUUUUCCUGCUAGAGAAAAGAUUUCCAACUCCUUAGAGCUGAAUUCGUCUCUUCCUGGGUAUCUUCGAUUGGGGUCGUCUUCUCUGUUCUGCAGAUGGGUUUUCUGUUGAGAUAGCUAUUGGUUUGUGAGUGGAAGAGAAGAAUUGGAAACCAAAAAGAAUAAAAGAAAAUGUCUUUGAAGAGUAGAGGAGAGCAGAACUCUUCUAAAAGUGUUAUAUCACAGAAAUGGACCCUUUUCCUUUGCUUGUUUUGUUUCUGUGCUGGAAUGCUCUUCACCAAUAGGAUGUGGACAGUUCCUGAGUCCAAAGGUAUCACUAGGACAACUGCAAUGGAAGCCGAGAAGCUAAAGUUGGUUUCAGAGGGUUGUGGAAUUAGAACUGUGGGUAUCUAAAUCAUUAUUUCAAUUGUUUAUCUUACAUUAUAUGUUUAGUAUUAAUCAUUCAAGUGGCUGUUUGUAAUCUGAUUUCAUCCCUUUAGUUGCAACAGAAAGAUGUGAGGCGCGACUCUAAGGAUCUAAUUGGGGAAGUGUAUAAGACUCAUAAUGCCAUACAGUGGGUGUAGCUUAUGCUCAUUAUGUUCUAGAUUCUGCUACUAUUUUGUUGUUUUGGGCUUAAAAUGACAAUAUCUUGGGUACGAGGCUUAUCAUAGCUUGUGGAAUGCAGGACAUUAGAUAAGACAAUUUCAAAUUUAGAGAUGGAAUUAGCUGCUGCAAGAGCAGCACAGGAGUCCAUGCUCAGUGGAUCUCCGUUAUCAGAGGACUUAAAGAAGACUGAAUCAUCUGGGAAAAGAAGGUAUUUGAUGGUUGUUGGAAUUAAUACUGCUUUCAGCAGCCGGAAAAGAAGAGACUCAGUUCGUGCAACAUGGACACCACAAGGUGAAAAAAGGAAGAAACUGGAGGAAGAGAAGGGCAUCAUCAUUCGCUUUGUCAUUGGUCAUAGUGCCACAUCAGGAGGCAUUUUGGAUAGAGCAAUUGAAGCAGAGGAUAAAAAGCAUGGGGAUUUCUUGAGGCUGGACCAUGUUGAAGGGUACCUUGAAUUGUCUGCAAAAACAAAGACAUACUUUGCUACUGCUGUUGCUACGUGGGAUGCGGAUUUUUAUGUCAAAGUUGAUGAUGAUGUGCAUGUAAAUAUAGCCACACUUGGAGCAACUUUAGCUAGGCAUCUGUCAAAACCCAGAGUUUAUAUAGGAUGUAUGAAGUCCGGUCCAGUCCUUGCCCAAAAGGGAGUCAAAUACCAUGAACCUGAGUAUUGGAAAUUUGGGGAGGAGGGAAACAAAUAUUUUCGUCAUGCUACAGGCCAGCUGUAUGCUAUUUCAAAUGAUUUGGCUGCUUACAUAUCAAUCAACCAGCAUGUGCUACACAAGUAUGCUAAUGAGGAUGUUUCAUUGGGAUCUUGGUUUAUCGGACUUGAUGUGGAGCACAUCGAUGACCGGAGACUAUGUUGCGGCACCCCACCAGAUUGUGAGUGGAAGGCGCAGGCUGGUAACAUCUGUGUUGCUUCAUUUGACUGGAGCUGCAGUGGGAUUUGCAGGUCUGCUGAUAGGAUUAAAGAGGUCCAUCAGCGGUGCGGGGAAGGUGAGAAAGCUUUGUGGAGUGCAACAUUCUAAGAGAUGUCUUAAGAGUCUUCCAAACUCUGGAGGAUGAUGAACUAGUGUUAAUGAAUGAGGUGUGCGAGUCUUUUAUGCAUUUUUUUUUUAGUAUUGGAAUACAUGCCAUGCUACACCAAUAGGUCUAGAGAGAAAGAGAGAGUGUGCACAUCAGUAUGCGAAAGCCCAAGAGCUGGCGACGAAUAGAGGGGUUGCUAUGUGUAAGUUUUCGGUUUUAGUGAAGAAAAUAGACCACAUUUGCAGCCAGGAAAAGAGGCAAAACGCUGUCACCAUUCAACCAUUCAACCAUUCAACAUUCUUUUGAUAUGCUUGUAGAGCCGAUUUGUAAGUUACAUUUCCACGGCUAUCAAGCUAGCAAUAAAUACGAAAACUUUGGUGGCAUUUUCUUCUCUAAUGCCCAGUAUUUUUUUUUUUAUACAAUUUUGUCUGACCGAGACUCAAAUUUGAGAUCUCACAGUCUUAGAGACACUCCAAUAUUAUCGAGUUAAACUCAAUUUUAUUUGUUUUUAAUCCAUGGAAAUCUGAGUCCAUCCUGUGGAUAUUUAUUUGUAACUUUUUAUUGUUCAUGGUAUGCAAAUGGCACAACUCAGAUUCAAA